UACGGGGGGGGCAAGCGUUGUCCGGAUUUAUUGGGCGUAAAGAGCUCGUAGGCGGUUCGGCAAGUCGAAUGUGAAAUCUCCACGCUCAACGUGGAGGGGUCAUUCGAUACUGCUGUGACUCGAGUCCGGUAGGGGAGUGUGGAAUUCCCGGUGUAGCGGUGAAAUGCGCAGAGAUCGGGAGGAACACCCGUAGCGAAGGCGGCACUCUGGGCCGGUACUGACGCUGAGGAGCGAAAGCGUGGGGAGCAAACAGG
rnacentral:rRNA from 1 species